GAUUGCUUGUGUACAAGAGAAGAUGAUCAUCAAGAAGUAGGGUUUGGAAUUUUAUUUCAAGGCGUAUAAACUGAUCCUGAUUGAUCAACCUGACAUUCUUAUCAAACUCGAUCGACGUCUUCACCUUCUUUCUUAAGGAAGCAACCGGAACUGUAAGUCACUUUAAUUAUUAAUUAUAUAUAUUAUGGAUGCUCGUCAUCUGAUGGACUUGUAUUUAGAUGGAAGUUGUUUUUGUAGAA
rnacentral:lncRNA from 1 species